UACGUAGGGCGCAAGCGUUGUCCGGAAUUAUUGGGCGUAAAGAGCUCGUAGGCGGCUUGUCACGUCGGAUGUGAAAGCCCGGGGCUUAACCCCGGGUCUGCAUUCGAUACGGGCUAGCUAGAGUGUGGUAGGGGAGAUCGGAAUUCCUGGUGUAGCGGUGAAAUGCGCAGAUAUCAGGAGGAACACCGGUGGCGAAGGCGGGUCUCUGGGCCGAUACUGACGCUGAGGAGCGAAAGCGUGGGGAGCGAACAGG
rnacentral:rRNA from 1 species